AGUCGAACGGAAAGGCCCUUCGGGGUACUCGAGUGGCGAACGGGUGAGUAACACGUGGGUGAUCUGCCCUGCACUUCGGGAUAAGCCUGGGAAACUGGGUCUAAUACCGGAUAGGACCAUGGCAUGCAUGUGCUGUGGUGGAAAGCUUUUGCGGUGUGGGAUGGGCCCGCGGCCUAUCAGCUUGUUGGUGAGGUUACGGCUCACCAAGGCGACGACGGGUAGCCGGCCUGAGAGGGUGACCGGCCACACUGGGACUGAGAUACGGCCCAGACUCCUACGGGAGGCAGCAGUGGGGAAUAUUGCACAAUGGGCGCAAGCCUGAUGCAGCGACGCCGCGUGGGGGAUGACGGCCUUCGGGUUGUAAACCUCUUUCAGCACAGACGAAGCGCAAGUGACGGUAUGUGCAGAAGAAGCACCGGCCAACUACGUGCCAGCAGCCGCGGUAAUACGUAGGGUGCGAGCGUUGUCCGGAAUUACUGGGCGUAAAGAGCUCGUAGGUGGUUUGUCGCGUUGUUCGUGAAAACUCACAGCUUAACUGUGGGCGUGCGGGCGAUACGGGCAGACUUGAGUACUGCAGGGGAGACUGGAAUUCCUGGUGUAGCGGUGGAAUGCGCAGAUAUCAGGAGGAACACCGGUGGCGAAGGCGGGUCUCUGGGCAGUAACUGACGCUGAGGAGCGAAAGCGUGGGGAGCGAACAGGAUUAGAUACCCUGGUAGUCCACGCCGUAAACGGUGGGUACUAGGUGUGGGUUUCCUUCCUUGGGAUCCGUGCCGUAGCUAACGCAUUAAGUACCCCGCCUGGGGAGUACGGCCGCAAGGCUAAAACUCAAAGAAAUUGACGGGGGCCCGCACAAGCGGCGGAGCAUGUGGAUUAA
rnacentral:rRNA from 1 species